UACGUAGGGUGCGAGCGUUGUCCGGAAUUACUGGGCGUAAAGAGCUCGUAGGUGGUUUGUCGCGUUGUUCGUGAAAACUCACAGCUUAACUGUGGGCGUGCGGGCGAUACGGGCAGACUGGAGUACUGCAGGGGAGACUGGAAUUCCUGGUGUAGCGGUGAAAUGCGCAGAUAUCAGGAGGAACACCGAUGGCGAAGGCAGUGGUCUGGGCCGAUACUGACGCUGAGGAGCGAAAGCGUGGGGAGCGAACAGG
rnacentral:rRNA from 1 species